rnacentral:rRNA from 1 species
UGGGGAAUUUUGCACAAUGGGGGCAACCCUGAUGCAGCGACGCCGCGUGAUUUAGAAGGCCUUCGGGUUGUAAAAAUCUUUUGUAUGGGAAGAAAAUGACAGUACCAUACGAAUAAGGACCGGCUAAUUACGUGCCAGCAGCCGCGGUAAUACGUAAGGUCCGAGCGUUGUCCGGAAUCAUUGGGCGUAAAGGGUACGUAGGCGGAUAAGCAAGUUAGAAGUGAAAUCCUAUAGCUCAACUAUAGUAAGCUUUUAAAACUGCUCAUCUUGAGGUAUGGAAGGGAAAGUGGAAUUCCUAGUGUAGCAGUGAAAUGCGCAGAUAUUAGGAGGAAUACCGGUGGCGAAGGCGACUUUCUGGCCAUAAACUGACGCUGAGGUACGAAAGCGUGGGUAGCAAACAGG